rnacentral:rRNA from 1 species
UACGUAGGGGGCUAGCGUUGUCCGGAAUCACUGGGCGUAAAGCGCGCGUAGGCGGCCCGGUAAGUCCGCUGUGAAAGUCAAAGGCUCAACCUUUGAAUGUCAGCGGAUACUGCCGGGCUAGAGUCCGGAAGAGGCGAGUGGAAUUCCUGGUGUAGCGGUGGAAUGCGCAGAUAUCAGGAGGAACACCAACGGCGAAGGCAGCUCGCUGGGACGGUACUGACGCUGAGGCGCGAAAGCGUGGGGAGCGAACAGG